rnacentral:ncRNA from 1 species
UGCGGGGUGAUGUUCGCGUCGCCCCGGCGGACCGAAAGGGAAUCGGGUUAAUAUUCCCGAACCUCGACGCGGAGAUUGGCGCUCCGGCGCCUAGUGCGGCAACGCAAACGAACUCGGAAACGCCGACGUGGGUCCCGGGAAGAGUUCUCUUUUCUUGGUAAGGGGCGGCGACCCUGGAAUCGGUUCGCCCGGAGAUAGGGACAUGGGCCCCGUAAAGCAGCACGUCUCUUGUGCUGUCCGGUGAGCUCGCGUCGGCCCUUGAAAAUCCGAGGGAGACGGUGUAAUUUUCGUGCGAGGUCGUACCCAUAUCCGCAGCAGGUCUCCAAGGUGAACAGCCUCUGGCCGAUAGAACAAUGUAGGUAAGGGAAGUCGGCAAACUAGAUCCGUAACUUCGGGAAAAGGAUUGGCUCUAGGGGCUGGGUCGGUCGGGCUGAGGUACGAAGCGGGGCGCGGCGCUGUACCGGACUGGGCGAACGACGGCCUCCCUCGCGGGGGGCUGGCGUGAGCCUGGACCUGUGUCGGCGUCUUCCCGUGGAAUGCCGCAGCUAACGCGGGCCUCGCGGCCCGCUUCGGCCGGCGUCGAACAGCCGACUUAGAACUGGUACGGACCGGGGGAAUCCGACUGUUUAAUUAAAACAAAGCUUUGCGAUGGCCGUCAGCCGGGUUGACGCAAUGUGAUUUCU